rnacentral:rRNA from 1 species
AUUGAACGCUGGCGGCAGGCUUAACACAUGCAAGUCGAGCGGAGAUGAGGUGCUUGCACCUUAUCUUAGCGGCGGACGGGUGAGUAAUGCUUAGGAAUCUGCCUAUUAGUGGGGGACAACAUUCCGAAAGGAAUGCUAAUACCGCAUACGCCCUACGGGGGAAAGCAGGGGAUCUUCGGACCUUGCGCUAAUAGAUGAGCCUAAGUCGGAUUAGCUAGUUGGUGGGGUAAAGGCCUACCAAGGCGACGAGCUGUAGCGGGUCUGAGAGGAUGAUCCGCCACACUGGGACUGAGACACGGCCCAGACUCCUACGGGGGGCAGCAGUGGGGAAUAUUGGACAAUGGGCGGAAGCCUGAUCCAGCCAUGCCGCGUGUGUGAAGAAGGCCUUUUGGUUGUAAAGCACUUUAAGCGAGGAGGAGGCUACCUGGAUUAAUACUCUAGGAUAGUGGACGUUACUCGCAGAAUAAGCACCGGCUAACUCUGUGCCAGCCGCCGCGGUAACAC